rnacentral:misc_RNA from 1 species
CACUUCACCAAUCAGCACCUGUGUGUGUGUGCAGCACCAGGAGCUGGUCUAUGUAUUUUUGAAAGAUCAAGUUUUGCGGUGUGUAAGGAGGUACCGAGACCCUUUCGACCCUCUUAACAAAGUGAUGAACAAUUAUUGAGGUUCUACAUAUUUCCUCAAUGUGAAAUUUUUAAACUACAAUGAAUUAGACACUUUAGGGCGGAGAACGAAUAGGUGAUUGGGUGUACCACACACAAACUUGUUACUAAUAUUUGUACUUUUCUUGAAUCGGGUUAAAAGGGUGCAUGAGGAUGGCGGCAUGUGUGGGGCUCUUACCCCCCCCCGCCCAGGGUGCCCCAUCCUCUCUGAGUAGUGACACACACCGCUAUGCCUGCAAGUCUUACGCGAACAAACUGCUGCAGAACUUAUGUGCACUCUGGCAUUCACAGCGGUUCUGUGAUGUAGAAAUAUCAGCUGGUGGAUUAGUUGUGAAGGCCCACCGUGCGGUACUAUCAGCAGGGAGUGCAUACUUUCAGGCCAUGUUUACUGGUGGAUUAGCUGAGGAAACACAGACUUCAAUAGAAAUAAAGUCCAUAACCCCCACUGUACUAGCUCAGCUCAUCAGCUUUAUAUACACUGGAGACAUUGAGGUAACAGUGGAGAAUGCUCAAGAGUUGAUGGUUGCUGCAGACAUGCUGGAAAUUCACCAUGUUGUACAUGUUGGCACAAACUUUCUCAAGAAGGAACUUCAUCCAUCCAAUGCUUUAGGAAUUUACAGGUUUGCUGAGGCCCAUCAUUUAGUAGAACUGCUGGAUGCUUCACGGGACUUCAUCUUCUCCAAUUUCUCAGAGGUGACAAUGGAGGAAGAGUUCCUUGAGACUCCUAAAGAAAUCCUACUCUAUCUUCUUGAGUCUGAGUACCUUCGUAUUGACUCUGAGUUUCAGGUAUUCUCUGCUGCCAUCCGAUGGAUUGCACAAGACAUAACUAAUAGACGCCGUUGGGUUUUUGACACUUUAAAACGAGUGAAAUUGCCUUUAAUUCCAAGUAAACUACUAGAAAAAUCAAUUAAUGAGUGCUGUGAUAUCAGUCUGAGGGUUGCCCUCAGAAGCAUACAGAAAGACCUUUUGGGCAAAAGGGGAAGUCUGGUUCCCCUGUAUGUCCAGCCAAGAAUUUGUGCUCGAAAGAAAAUUUAUGUCAUAGGUGGAUCAAAAAGAGAACUCAUUAGCUCAUGGACAAGAUCGGAGUGUACAUUUGAAAGUGUUGAGUGUUUUGAUACCUUUCGGAAGGAAUGGCAGAAAGUUUGCCCCAUGGAAAUUGGGAGAAUUUUGCCAGGAAUAGCAGUCUUGAAUGGGAGAAUUUUCGUUGUUGGAGGGGAGCAAGAAUCUCAGAUUUUGGCAAAUGGUGAAGUUUAUGAUCCACAGGAAGAUGUUUGGACUAGGAUAUCUUCCAUGGUGAUCCCACGGUGUGAAUUUGGAUUAUGUGCUCAUGAAGGUUACCUCUAUGCCUUUGGUGGCUGGGUGGGAGAGGACAUAGGAGGAACCAUUGAGAGAUAUGACCCUAUUGCAGAUGAGUGGAGAUUAGAGUCAAACAUGCCAGAAGCUAGAUUCAGCAUGGGUGUAGUAGAACAUCAGGGUCUUAUUUACAUUGUUGGUGGAUGUACGCACAGCCAACGCCACCUACAUGAUCUUCUCUUCUACAAUCCUGUGACUGGGGAGUGGAAAAAUCUAGCACCAAUGCUAACUCCACGCAGUCAGAUGGGUGUGGCUGUUUUGGAUGGCUUUUUGUAUGUAGUAGGUGGCACCAAUAGACAUAAUGUGCUCACAUCAGUGGAAAGAUAUUCUUUUGAACAGAACAAAUGGUUUGAGUGUCCAUCAAUGUCGGUUGGUCGAGCGAGCCCAGCAGUUGCUGCCACAAAUUCUCUAUUAUAUGUCAUAGGUGGGGACCAGACAAGUGAAGUUAAUGAUUUUUACAGAGCACAGGUAACUAUUGCUCAUGUGGAGUAUUUCGACCCUAACACUAACCGGUGGUUAGACUGUACAUCACUACCAGAGAGUCGAUCUGAGGCUGGGGCAGUCGUCAUUUGACCCCCUCCUCCCUCACAGCACCCUCCUAGAGCCACUCGUAGAAGCCACAAGCCCCAGGAUAAAGACAACCCAGAGUGUCCACGCGUUGCUGGGCUGCAGACUACUGUAGAUGGUUGUAGGGAGGUCUGAGAGAAUGCAAAGGCAGGGCUUCUCACCUUGCACUAUGCAGAUGGGCUCUUGUGAGAGCUUGAGGGAACCCCCGAGUCAUUGAAGACCUUUGGGACUUCCCAACCAAGUAACACAUGCAUUCACCAGGGCUAAUGUUAGUCUGAACCAAAUCCAAGCUGGCUGGAAUAAUGGGGCAUUUUUCUGGCCAGCAAUAAAAUUUUCUUAAUAUUCCAGCUUAAUUACUUACAGAAAAAAGUGUGGCCUCUUGAAAUUUUGUUACCCUAGGGCCUAGUGUCAAACCAGCAUAGAUUUUACUGUACAUUGUAAGCUGUGCAGUUUAAUGUUUUUUUAUGGAUGCUAGUGGUCAUUUUAUUUUUAUACUUUUUUUAAUCAAUAAAUAUAGGAAUUUUGAUAAAUUGCAAAUGGUAUUUGCUAUAAUAUUAGACAAAUGAGCAUUUUUUACUUUUGUGUGAAUAACUGUUAUUUUUAAAUUGUCUGUUAUUUUCAUUAUUUUAUCAUUGUUAAGUUCAUUUGUAGAAUGUUCUUAUGUACCAUAGUACAGUAUUGUACUGUGUAUUUUUUUCUUCAAGCCUUUUCCUUCUUUACUAUAGGGUGGCUGGAAAAAAGAGCAAAUACAGUACUAUACAAUACU